rnacentral:rRNA from 1 species
GCCAGCAGCCAUAUCACCCUGGGUACCCACUGAAGCUCAGCAGGGUUGAGCCUGGUCAGUACCUGGAUGGGAGACCUCCUGAGAAGCUAUGGUUGCUGCUGGAA